rnacentral:rRNA from 1 species
CCUACGGGUGGCCGCAGUGAGGAAUAUUGGUCAAUGGGCGCGAGCCUGAACCAGCCAAGUAGCGUGAAGGAUGACUGCCCUACGGGUUGUAAACUUCUUUUAUAAAGGAAUAAAGUGAGGCACGUGUGCCUUUUUGUAUGUACUUUAUGAAUAAGGAUCGGAUAACUCCGUGCCAGCAGCCGCGGUAAUACGGAGGAGCCGAGCGUUAUCAGGAUUGAUUGGGUGUAAAGGGAGCGUAGAUGGGUUGUUAAGUCAGUUGUGAAAGUUUGCGGAGCAAACGUAAAAUUGCAAUUGAUACUGGCAGCCUUGAGUACAGUUGAGGUAGGCGGAAUUCGUGGUGUAGCGGUGAAAUGCUUAGAUAUCACGAAGAACUCCGAGUGCGAAGGCAGCUUACUAACCUGCCACUGACAUUGAUGCUCGAAAGUGUGGGUAUCAAACAGGAUUAGAUACCCUUGUAGUC